GACGUAGGGACCAAGCGUUGUCCGGAGUUACUGGGCGUAAAGCGCGCGCAGGCGGAUCAGCGCAUCGUCGGUGAAAGCCCCCCGCUCAACGGGGGAGGGUCCGGCGCGAUGGCUGGUCUGGAGGCAGGGAGAGGCGAGUGGAAUUCCGGGUGUAGUGGUGAAAUGCGUAGAGAUCCGGAGGAACACCAGUGGCGAAGGCGGCUCGCUGGACCUGACGCUGAGGCGCGAAGGCGUGGGGAGCGAACGGG
rnacentral:rRNA from 1 species